CCAAAUUUAGCUCAGUUGGAAGAGCGUCGGACUGUAAAUCCUUAGGUCCCGGUUCGAACCCGGGAGUUUGGA
rnacentral:tRNA from 1 species